CCUAGUUUGCCAAGUACUGUGCUGGGUAACAGGAAAGCAGGCAAGGAUCUCUUCCUCAAGGAGCUUGUAUUCCUUACAGCAAAUAUGUCAGAGAUGGGCUGGGAGAUAGCUCAGUCACUAAAGCGCUUCGCGGGAGGGCCCGAGUUCAGCCCCCAGCACGUACACAAAGCUGGGAGUGGUGGUGCACACUUGUAAUUGCAGUGCUGGGGACGCAGAGACAAGCAGGUGCUAGGGCUCAAUGCCCAGGCAGCCUAGCCUGCUUGCUAAGCUCCAGAUCUUUUGUUGGAAAGCAAAAUGCACAGCUUCUGAGGGCAGCUGGCCUCUAUGUGUGCGCAUGCACAUGUGCCCGCACAUACAUGAACAUGCUGCACAUAUGUGCACACAUGUGAGCACACACACGCGUGCACACACACACACGAGAAUGAAAACAAAUCUCACGCUGAGUGCUGAGUAAGCAACCCUCACAGAGCGGUUCGAAUAGCAGGCUCCAUGUGUGCUCCUGUCCAAAGUCUGGGUCCCCCGCUCCUGCUUCCAGGUACCAGAUUCUAGGUAGAAGGCUGGAUGGACAGGCCUCUGUCUCUACACCUUUCAGUGACAGAGCUGUUUCUGGGAGGGAGACGUGAGGAUAGGAUGGGGAAAGGAAAGAGAAGAGAGAUCUUGGCCAAGACCUUUUGGAGUGUUCUGUCUACUCUCCGUGAUGGUGAGCCUUCACUGUCAACCUGACAGGAAUUAAAGGCGACCUAGGAGACACACCUCUCAGCAUACCUGUGAGGGAUUGAUUUAACUGAGGCAGGAAGGGCCUACCCUGAAUGUGGGCAGCACCAUUCCUUGAACUAAAGUCUCAGACUGAAUAAGAAGGGGAAAAGCCAAACACCAGCAUUCGUCUUUCUCUGGCUGAGGAUGUAGGUGAGCUGCCACCUCACGCUUCUGCUCUUGUGCUUUCUCUAUGGCAGACUGUACCUUCAAUCCGUGAGCCUUCAAACUGUGAGCCUUCAAACCGUGAGCCCAAAUAAGCCUUUCCUUUCUCUCUGAAGCCACUUUUCUCUGAGAUUUUGUCCCAACAAAGAGAAAAAUAGCUAGUACGCCCUGUACACCACUUAGACAAACUCCUGACUCACAUCAAGAAUUCCAUGCAUCCCUGGUCUUUUCUCUAAGCUUUCAGGAACCAGGAGAAACAGGGAAGCCACCACAAGGGUCAAGAGCAGAGAAGGUGACAAAUGUUCUUUCUUUUGUCUUUUUUUUUUUUGAGGUAGGGUCUUAGGUAGCCCUGGUUGACCUGGGUGAACUAGGACUUUUGACAGUCCUGCUUCUGCAUCCCAAGUGUUGGGAUUACAGAGGGUACCACAGGCCUGGCAAGACAGACAUUCUUCCUAAAAUAUUUAACUGUAAGCAGAUACUGCACAUUGGUUUCCCAGUUGCCCAGACCUAAAAACUUUAUUCAUUACACCACUGUUUGGCUGAUGGCUCAGGCAUAUUUCUAUCUAGCUCUUACAUCUUAAAUUAACCUAUCUCUAUUACUCUAUGUAUCACCACGAGGUUGUGACCUACCAGUAAGUUUCUAGUGUCUUUCUCCUUCAGCAGCUACAUGGUGUUUGCCAGAUUCUACCUUCUUUCUCCCAGCAUUCAGUUUAGUUUUCCCACCCAGCUUUAUUCUGCCCUGCCACAGGCCAAAGCAGCUUCCUUAUUGACCAAUGGUAAUAACACAUAUUCACAGCAUACAGAGGGGAAUCCCACACCAUAUAACUGCUACAGAUUUCCACUUUCAGAUCUCGGUCUUAGUAUCUGUGAGCUUGAUGUUCACUCUUGUAUUUAGAGACGAGAGCCAGCUUUUGCAAAGCCGACCUGUUUAUACCUCUUAUCUCAUUUUAAGCCCACAGUCAUCCCAGGAAUGAGCUUCACCUCCUUGCUGUGGAUAAAGUGACUGAGGCAUGGAAAGGUUAACUGGCUCAUCAAGGGCAUAGAAUGUGAAAGAGUUCGAGACCAUGGAACUCCCAGGCUGGGGCCAUCUAUGCGUCAGGAUGUUUAUCCCAAGUGAGUCAGCCUCUCUGCACUCUGUCUACUCAGCCAGCUUCCAUAGCCCAGGCCAGUGAGUCAGUCCCAUCAAGUGGCCACCGACUGCCUUCUCAUUUUCCUUCCCAGGUACCCAAGGAUUUGAGCAGGUGCCUUCAGACACCACACAGUAAAUCAACUGCCACAUUAAUUCUGGGCCAUUGGCAUUCUACUUCGGAAGCAGGGAGACUGAUGUCUCAUUGGUAUUCCCAUUGCCAGAGGAGAAGGGAGACAAGUAUAAUCUGUCACGGUGGAGAGGGCUGAUUUGAGAACAGUGUAGAUCACUUUAAGGAGAGUUUUUCAUUCUCUGGACAAGGGAAUAUGGAAUAAAUCAAUCCUCUCAGGGUUGUGUUAUCUCAGUUUGUAUACUCACACUGUGAACACAGAACAAAGUCAUCCACUGUUGCAUUUCUCAGCAAGGCUUCCUUUGUUGAGCACAUGCCUGGCUGUUCCAAUAGCACAGUGCAGCCUCUUUUAUGAGCUGGGGAAAGUCUUGAUCAGAGACGUACAGCAAGAUCUCUGGCCCUUUCUCCACUUGCUCGUUCCAGCAUUAUUGCUACUUUUCUCGUUCCUUUCCUUCCAUCCUUCCCUUCCUCCCUUCUUUCCAACUCUCUCUCUCUCUCUCUCUCUCUCUCUCUCUCUAUUGUCUCAAUCUUCUGAGUGCUGGGACUACACCAGCCACCGUGCCUGCCUGACAUUGAUUUUUUUUAAAAUGUAUAUACACAUACAGAUAGAAGAAAAACUACUCUGUUGCACUAAAGGAAUAACUAAUAUUUGUUAAGUGUCGAUUAUUGCCAAGCACUGAACAUGCACACACACACGAAGAUGCUAUUGCACGUGUAGACAUCAGAAGACAACCAGAGAUCAGUUUACUCCUUCCAUCCUGUGGGACUCGGGAACUGAUCAUAGGUUGUCAGUCUUGGUGGCAAAGGUGUUUAUCUGUUGAUCCAUUUUGCCAGCCCUGAUAUGGGCCCUUCUUAAAUUUUGUUUGUGUCAUUGUUUCAGUGAAGCAGGCUCUUCGUAGCUUGUGGUACUCACUCUUGUUCUUCAGGCUAAGGUGCCGUGGGAUACGCCUGAUGGGAGCCUACGAAUUCACAAGGUUGAUCUCAGAAGAGACAAGCUUUGUAAAUCUCCAAGGAGAAGUGACCCUCGCCCUAACUCCCACAACACUGGACUUGACUGAUAAAGCACAGGGUUUGAGAGUUGGUUUUUGUUUUUUAAAGCGUGGUUCUCCUACAAACAUAAAAGGACCUGCCAAGGACCGAGGAGCUGAUGAAGGCCUCAGUAAGAUGGUAAAGAUGGUUUGAAGUGCAUUUGAGGGAGCCAUAAGCAUUUAAAAGGAAAUUAUAGCCAUUAAUUUCCAGCCCCCAAACAAAACUGGUUGCCCUUGAAUAUAUAAUUGAUUGUUUUUGACAAGAAUACCGAGAUGACCAGUGGAAAAGCCAAUCUUUUCACCAUGCUGUUGGGGAGUUGUCUCCAUGUGCAGUGGAUCCAGGUGGACCUCUUUGUCAGGCUGUCCUAAUGGUGAAGAAGUGUCACCUAACUCCUGUCACUGGUUCCUUGGGAAUGGCUUCAUUCCUCUCCAGACCUUCAGUCUCUACAAAGGAAACCAAGAAUUUCUUCUCAGCUCUGUCCACCUUUGAUUGGCUGCUGAGAACCUCUGCACUGGAAACAGCAGAGCCAUAGGUCUGGCCUUUUGUUUUAAGCAUGCGGUACUUCAGUGAUCUAAGGGAAGAUUAAAUUAAAGGCCUGGAAGAGUGCAAUAAUGCGUCUAAGAACGUCAGCUAAUAAAGACCCCAAACAUGAGACUCAGCGCUCAGCUCGAAAUGACUUACGUUCUGUUUUACAUUUCAUUUCCCCUCCCUUUUAUAAUUGUUUAAAAUAAGAUUUAACUGGUUUUAAUGUGCUCAAACAGAAAAUGGAGACAAUCCAAACAACCCAGACCUGGGCGUUUUCACCGCGUUGAAACAGAAGAUCACCCUUUUCCUUCCAAGCUGUUUUCCCCUCUGUUCAGACCUGUGCAUGCACGCACACACAGGCAAAAUGCAGCCACGCGAGGUGUUUCCAUGCUUAAAACCAUCACCACCAGAGCCACGUCUAUGAAUGCUCCAAAGCAGGUUCUGCCCAACUUUCUCCUCCUGUAUCUAAUCGCAGACCUGGUUUCUGGGCUCUGUUGUUAUACCUGAGAAUUGUGAGGAGAAAAGACCAAAUCCACGAUUGUCUAAUAAAGCAAGCUGUAUGUUGGGGUGCACCCAGGACUGGCCUGCAGGCUGUCUCACUCUGUCGGGUUAGAGAGAGCAGCCCCUACUGGUCUCUUGAGGUCCUUUUAUAAGAGAGUUAAGGUGUUCGAAGGGGGAGUUGGCUGAUCUACAUUGCUA